rnacentral:rRNA from 1 species
UGAGGAAUUUUGCGCAAUGGGCGAAAGCCUGACGCAGCGACGCCGCGUGGAGGAAGACGGCCUUCGGGUUGUAAACUCCUGUCAGAGGUGAAGAACGCCCGCAAGGGCUUGACGGUAACCUCAGAGGAAGCCCCGGCUAACUACGUGCCAGCAGCCGCGGUGAUACGUAGGGGGCGAGCGCUGUCCGGAUUCACUGGGCGUAAAGGGUGUGUAGGCGGACCGGCCGGUCGAUGGUGAAAGCUCACGGCUCAACCGGGAAAGUGCUGUCGAUACUACCGGUCUAGAGGGCGGGAGAGGGAGCUGGAACUUCCGGUGUAGCGGUAAAAUGCGUAGAUAUCGGAAGGAACGCCAAUAGCGAAGGCAGGCUUCUGGAAUGUUCCUGACGCUGAAACACGAAAGCUAGGGGAGCAAACAG